rnacentral:lncRNA from 1 species
AGGAUUGAAAAUUAUUUGGUUGUGGCUUGGUUGGACUGUGCUGGGAUCUCGCUGCCUCUACGUUUCCGGAGUCUCUAGUGAAGAGAUGAUUUUUUUUUUUUUUGAAACUGGGUUUAUGUGCGUCCCCCUCACCCCUCCUCUCUUUUUUCUUUCUGCCUCUGUCGUCUCUCUCGCUGGCUUUUUUUUUUUUUUUUUAAUGAGGAACCGUUCCAUGAACAUUUUGCACAGAGCACAGAAUUGCUUCUAAAGUCAGCCCGGCGCAGUUGCAAUAGACAGCAAAAAGGUAAACGUUUGCCUGAAAUCCGCACGCCAGCUUCACCACCCCGCCCGAUGGUUAAACAGUGACCAAGGGGAGAUAGAGAGGUUAUCACCAUGCAAACUGUGCCAAGGUUCUGUAACAAUCAAGAACACGUGGACACCUACCUGUGGGAGGAGGCUUGGGGGAAACACUGUUUCUGGUUGCUGCUGAAGCCAGCAUUCUGGAGAUGGACAGCUGCUCAAGGAAAUGAAGGGAGAUUUUGUAAAUUGCAGAUUCUAAGCAGGACAAGAACUGUUGCUUCCCUGAGUUGGCCUGCUUUUCCAGAGUAUCUUAAAAGGUCUCUUGAAACAAAUAAAAUACUCAGAACUUCUGGGACUGUCACAGACAGUGUCCUGUUACUGGCUUUAAACAGUCCCUCAUGAGGAAGAAGCCCUAUAUCCUGAAGUCAGAUGUCAAUCAUCCUGGGAAGACUCAACCAAGAAUACAUGCUUAGAAGAAAACUGUUUCAAGCAUCCCCAUUUACGUGGAUGUAUCUGCACAGUCCUCCCUUUCCACAAACACCAACACUGAAGCCCCGAUGCUGGGAGGCUCUGAAUUAAGACCCUGGAGAAGAACUGCCAAGGGGAUUUACUUUUAAGGAAGCCCAUGAUCCUAUAAGAGUGAUCAUCAGUGUAAAUCAAAUCAAACGACUUGGAUGCUCUCUCCGGCUCUCAAUCUCCAACACCCAGAAGAGGUGUCAUAUGGCGGUUUUUUCCUCUGCACCACAUCUUCCAACUAUGAUGUCUAUCAUCAAAAAGUCCAGAGCAAUGAGACAGAUACCACCAUAACUCAUAAAGAGAAAGCAUGACCCUAGACGUGGAGUGAAUUGAGUGUGCAGGUUCCUACGAGUUCACUGCGGUUCCAGUGGGGAUUGGGCAGGCUCCAAGCACUAAAUAACCCUAAUGAUAUCAGGACUGGUCCUGUUUGCUCCAUCUUAACAUUGUUGGUUAACAGUGGACUCUGACUUUCAUGAGGAUGACUGGACAUCCACUGGGACUCCAGGAGGCUGCCCUUCGCUGCUUUGACUUUGUUCUGUCAGACUUGAUAAGAUUUUGACUUCCUGUUAAAACCUGCCAUCGGGUGUUCAGCAGGAGAGUGAGAGAGUGUCAAGCACACUGUACCAGCAUCAGAGGCUGAGCCUGCCAGCAGAGCUGACUCUGAUGGACACGUGCUUCCUAGGGCUCCUGAUGCAGCUGCUAUCUGCAGACCUCCUGGACUGCCCGGGGAAGGGAGUGGGAGCUCCUGCCACAGAUGGGUGGAACAUCGACAAGAAGGGCUAAAGGUGGCCAAAAAUAACAGUGCCUUCCAGAUGAGGUGACCUCAGAGCCAAGAGCAUCAUGGGGUAGAGUAUCUUGUUCCCAGUUUUAUGACCUAAAAAGUACACAGAAGAUGCAAAGAUACUACAGAGAGAAGGAACAAAGUCUGCAGAGAACAGGGAAAGGCGAUUACGUAUCAUAUUUUUUUAAAUAGGAUUUUGUUGUACAUGACCACAAAAGAAAACACAGCCUUUUAUACAUGUUUGAAGAGAGAGCUAGAGCUAUAGAUAGAAAAAUGAUAGAUAGAUUAAUAGAUAGAUGGUCAAUAGAUAGAUGAUCAAUAGAUAGAUAAGUAGGUAGGUAGAUAGAUGAUAGACAGAACCAAACACAAUAGAAGACCAAAAGGAGAAAAAGAUAGAGAUGAUAUUGCCUUCCUUUGUUUGCUAUUGAAACAAACUUAAUAAAUCCUCAUUGAGACUCAA